UUAUUUAACGGCCGCGGUACUCUGACCGUGCAAAGGUAGCAUAAUCAUUUGCCUUAUAAUUGAAGGCUUGUAUGAAUGGUUUGACAAGAAUUAGUCUGUCUCUUACAAAUUAAAAUGAAAUUGACUUUUAGGUGUAAAGGCCUAAAUAUUACUAAUAGACAAGAAGACCCUAUUGAGCUUUAAAAAUUUAUAAUAAUAUAAUUUAUAUUAAAAAUAAGAUUACAAAUUAUCAAAAUUUUUAGUUGGGGCGACUAUUGGAACAAGUAAAACUUCCAGAAUUUUAUAAUAUUUAAUAUUAAUUUAUUUAGAUCCAAAAUGUUUUGAUUAAUAGAAUAAGUUACCAUAGGGAUAACAGCAUAAUCUAUCUUAAGAGUUCUAAUCGAAAGAAAGGUUUGUGACCUCGAUGUUGGAUUAAAAUGUCCUAAGGGUGUAGAAGCUCUUGAAGGUUGGUCUGUUCG
rnacentral:rRNA from 1 species